rnacentral:rRNA from 1 species
UACGGAGGGUGCGAGCGUUGUCCGGAAUCACUGGGCGUAAAGGGCGCGUAGGCGGCUGGUGAAGGCUUGUGUGAAAGUCCGGGGCUCAACCCCGGAUCGGCACGGGCGACUCGCUGGCUGGAGCCCACUAGAGGCGGGUGGAAUUCCGGGGUGUAGCGGUGGAAUGCGUAGAGAUCCGGAAGAACACCGGUGGCGAAGGCGGCCCGCUGGGGUGGAGCUGACGCUGAGGCGCGACAGCGUGGGGGAGCAAACAGG